rnacentral:lncRNA from 9 species
CGGUUGUGCAGAGCGCCUGCGUGGGGGUUGCGUGCGUGCCGUGGCGUGCGUGGGGGUUGCGUGCGUGCCGGGGAAGGGAGCCCCGGGAGCGACUGCUGAGGGACACCGCGGCGAGCGAGCAUGGGUGGAGGAGCUGAGGGUGUGAGCAGGGCUGCAGCGGGCAGGUCCAAGGCAGGGAGAGUCUCCAUAACAGCUCUGCACGAUGGGAGGACCCCAAGACAGCAGCCCAAGGAGGACAGGCAUUCUCGUGAGACAGCCGGAAUCCAGGUCUUCAGCUCCUCUGUGGUGCCGCAGGGGCUCCUGGGAGUCCGCCAUCUUGUGGACAGUGAACGGCCAGCCGUCUGCUCUCUACUGGAUCUGAAGACAUCCCUGGGAGCAGAGCGGAUGUUGGUAGCAGAUUCCAGUAUGGGAAGCUCAGAGAAGGU